rnacentral:rRNA from 1 species
CCUACGGGGGGCAGCAGUGGGGGAUAUUGCACAAUGGGGGAAACUCUGAUGCAGCGACGCCGCGUGGGUGAAGAAGCGCCUCGGCGCGUAAAGCCCUGUCAGCAGGGAAGAAAAUGACGGUACCUGAAGAAGAAGCCCCGGCUAACUACGCGCCAGCAGCCGCGGUAAUACGUAGGGGGCAAGCGUUAUCCGGAUUUACUGGGUGUAAAGGGGGCACAGACGGCGAUGCAAGCCAGGAGUGAAAGCCCGGGGCCCAACCCCGGGACUGCUCUUGGAACUGCGUGGCUAGAGUGCAGGAGGGGCAG